GUACACUCCUGCGGGAGGCAGCAGUGGGGAAUUUUGGACAAUGGGCGAAAGCCUGAUCCAGCAAUGCCGCGUGCAGGAUGAAGGCCUUCGGGUUGUAAACUGCUUUUGUACGGAACGAAAAAGCUCCUUCUAAUACAGGGGGCCCAUGACGGUACCGUAAGAAUAAGCACCGGCUAACUACGUGCCAGCAGCCGCGGUAAUACGUAGGGUGCGAGCGUUAAUCGGAAUUACUGGGCGUAAAGCGUGCGCAGGCGGUUAUGUAAGACAGAUGUGAAAUCCCCGGGCUCAACCUGGGAACUGCAUUUGUGACUGCAUGGCUAGAGUACGGUAGAGGGGGAUGGAAUUCCGCGUGUAGCAGUGAAAUGCGUAGAUAUGCGGAGGAACACCGAUGGCGAAGGCAAUCCCCUGGACCUGUACUGACGCUCAUGCACGAAAGCGUGGGGAGCAAACAGGAUUAGAUACCCGAGUAGUCCCAU
rnacentral:rRNA from 1 species